AAUGAACGCUGGCGGCAGGCCUAACACAUGCAAGUCGAACGGGUCCUUCGGGACUAGUGGCGGACGGGUGAGUAACGCGUGGGAACGUGCCCUUUGCUUCGGAAUAGCCCCGGGAAACUGGGAGUAAUACCGAAUGUGCCCGAGAGGGGAAAGAUUUAUCGGCAAAGGAUCGGCCCGCGUUGGAUUAGGUAGUUGGUGGGGUAAUGGCCUACCAAGCCGACGAUCCAUAGCUGGUUUGAGAGGAUGAUCAGCCACACUGGGACUGAGACACGGCUCAGACUCCUACGGGAGGCAGCAGUGGGGAAUCUUAGACAAUGGGGGAAACCCUGAUCUAGCCAUGCCGCGUGAUCGAUGAAGGCCUUAGGGUUGUAAAGAUCUUUCAGGUGGGAAGAUAAUGACUGUACCACCAGAAGAAGCCCCGGCUAACUCCGUGCCAGCAGCCGCCGUAAGAC
rnacentral:rRNA from 1 species